AUGUCCUGCUGGAAUGAGACAGCAGGGGAAGAGGUGGGUCAGAUCUUCUCCCAUCCCCUCCUCCCCUCACCCUGCCCUCCCCGCAGGCUGCUAGGGGCCUCAGGCACACAUGUGGACCCUGAAACUCCAUCACAAACUAGGUCCACAACCCCUGCAAACAGCUGCCCUUUGGCUGUCCCAGGGGUGUGGCACUGGCAAGGAAGCGGCCAGAGCAGGCCUUGAAAGUCUGCAGGGAAUUCUCAGGUUCUGGGUACCAGAGUGCGGUCUCUGGCGAUGGCGUGGACACGGGGUGGGCACAUCCCUGUUGGCCCUGCAGACUCUUUGCCCCGUGCGGCUGGGCACCUCUGGAGGAGGGCCAGCACGGAACCCUGCUGCCUAGGUCUGAGAAUGAUACUGAGUCCUGAGCAGUUCCCCGCGGCUGGAAUGUCGUCGUGUUCAGCGGGAGCAGCCGCAGAGGAGGCUGAUUCCUAUCGUGAGGAGAGACGAUGAAAAUGGCGGCCCUGAAUUCCUACCUCUGGUCUUUAGGAAGAGGAAUGUCAGAAAUAACGGAGUCUGAUUUGGAAAGACCUGGGACAUGGCCUGAUGCUCUUCCACUCACCACACCCACGCAGAUGUCGAGCGGGUCCAAAUCAGUGUGUGGAACCUGCCUUUCUGGCCCAGAAGUUCUGAGAAGCUACACAUUGAAAAGGGCCUAAGUUACCCACUGUCUCAGGUUGCUAGAGUUCCAGAGAGAAACCAACCACUCCAGAGGUGAGUGGGCUUACUUGUGGCAAUACCCACUACUCCUGUGAUGUGACUAACCUUUUUGAAGUAGAUAUGUCAUUUCCUUGUCCUUCCAUUAGAGGGAGCAAAUGUGCAUAAGGUCAUCGAUGACCCAGACAUUUAGCAGACGAUGCCGAAGGAGCUUGAAGAUCCCUUCUGAAGCUGGUCUGCACUGCAGAUUUUAACUCCCUGGUCCAAGCCUUAGUUUCUCCCAUAUAUGACCCCUUUGAGUAUCUGACUAAAGGUUCCAGAUUUUAAUUAUUUAUAAGGAAAAAUAACACACACAUGCCCCACCCACCCCCGCCCACCAACACUCUUACAUUUUCAUUCUUUCCUGAUUGGAAAGAUAAAUGAAAAUAUGAAGGCUUCCACUUGCCUUGGGUCACAUGAGACCAUAUUUUCACCCCCAACAUAACAACAGCCUUGUUUAGACAGUCCUUGACGUUUCCUAGUAUUUUUAGAAUUUCUUCCUUUUCACUGAUCCCUGAUAGAUGACUCCAGGACUCUCCAGCUCUGCUAUGAAUAAGGCUGUGCUCGUCACACCCUGACUCUGCUGUGAGUCUGGGCUGUGCUACUGGGCUCCAAUCCCUUUUGCCUCUCCCAGCAGGCUCUGGAACUCAACUGCCUCGGAUUAACUCUGUUUAUCCACAUACCAGCUGUAUGGCCUUGGGUAAGUAAUUUAACUUCUCUGUGCUUGGUUUUCUCAUUGGGAAUGACCUGUCAUUGUAGCUUACCUCUGAAGAUGGCUGCCAUCAAUUCCUUCCCUCCCUAUAAGUGUCUGUGACCCCCCACUGAGGACUAGAGUAUACUCCUUCACCCCCUUGAAACUGGGUGGACUGUGGCUGCUUUAAUGCCAGCCUGGUUAUGCCUUUAGAUGACUCCAGCCUCAUCACCAUCUAACUGUAACUGCGUGAGAGGCUCUGCCCGGCUGAUCCCAGUCAAACCACGGAACCAUGUGAAAUAAUAAUAAAUGGUUGUUUUAAGCCACUGUUUAGUGACACUGUGCAGUAAAAAGAUACCCACACUAAACAUUGAUGGCAAUGAUAAUAAUGUUUCCCUCACGGGGUGAUAUGAGGAUUAAAUUAAUCUUCAUUAGAUGCUUAGAACAGCGGCUGGCAGUACUAAUUGUCAUAUAGAAUAUGUUGAAUAAAAAAAGGAAUGACCUAGGUCUCUGAAAGUAUUAGAGUCUCAGGCUAAUAAACACUCAUUUUCAGGAAAGGACAGUAUUUUUUAUUGUUUUAGCUCUAGGUUCUUCCAAAAAAUACCUUAGUCAAUGUGGAAUCAGUAGGAUGAAAACAGUGUCUUGGAGACCAAAAGGCUCAGAGUUGGUCCUGUCUGGCCUGGGCAAGCCCCUUCACCCCGCUGUCAGGGGUUCGUGACCAGCCUGGCCAACAUGGUGAAACCUAUCUCUACUAAAAAUACAAAAAUUACCGGGCAUGGUAGCAUGUGCCUGUAAUCCCAGCUACUCGGGAGGCUGAGGCAGGAGAAUUGCUUGAACCUGGGAGGCGGAAGUUGCAGUGAGCCAAGAUUGCACCACUGCACUCUAGCCUGGGCAACAGAGCGAGACUCCAUCUC